UACGUAGGGUGCGAGCGUUGUCCGGAAUUACUGGGCGUAAAGAGCUCGUAGGUGGUUUGUCGCGUUGUUCGUGAAAACUUCACGCUUAACGUGGAGCUUGCGGUCGAUACGGGCAGACUUGAGUUCGGUAGGGGAGACUGGAAUUCCUGGUGUAGCGGUGAAAUGCGCAGAUAUCAGGAGGAACACCGGUGGCGAAGGCGGGUCUCUGGGCCGAUACUGACGCUGAGGAGCGAAAGCGUGGGGAGCGAACAGG
rnacentral:rRNA from 1 species